CCAGGACCCGGCCACCCAUGGGGAUGACAGGGCUGCCUUGGUGUGUUCCUGGGGACAGAGCCCUCUGGAGCCAUCUCAAGCAGAGGUGACUCUACCACACUGAAGGUUACAGCUAUGCCCUAGAGCUUUCUCAUGGCCACAUCUACUUUUCAGGGCAAACUGGAUAACUUGUGUGACUUUGUUCAAAGCUGCAACCAGGUGCCACUGAUGUGGUGUCAGCCCAGGUACAAGAGCUCCCCACCCUGCAAGUCUGCUGGCUCCACAUGCCAUCCUCUGAGGCUCCCGGGUGGUUCCCUCAUGAGCCGUGAAUGCUGGAGGGCAUGGGGACACCCCCAUGUUGUUUUACCAGGUAGUAGAUGGAGUCCCUCCAUGUGCCACUGCCUGUGACAACGGGGAGAAGCCUACGUGUUAUAGGUGUCCCCCCCUGGAAUUUAAUAGUUGUGAAGGCUGAUUGUUACAGAGUC